rnacentral:rRNA from 1 species
AUUGAACGCUGGCGGCAUGCUUUACACAUGCAAGUCGAACGGGGUGAGGGGGCAACUCCUCAUUCAGUGGCGAACGGGUGAGUAAUGCAUCGGAACGUGUCCCGUAGUGGGGGAUAACUCGGCGAAAGCCGUGCUAAUACCGCAUAUGCUCUACGGAGGAAAGUGGGGACCUGCAAGGGCCUCACGCUAUGGGAGCGGCCGAUGUCCGAUUAGCUUGUUGGCGGGGUAAUGGCCCACCAAGGCGACGAUCGGUAGCUGGUCUGAGAGGAUGAUCAGCCACACUGGGACUGAGACACGGCCCAGACUCCUACGGGAGGCAGCAGUGGGGAAUUUUGGACAAUGGGGGCAACCCUGAUCCAGCCAUGCCGCGUGCGGGAAGAAGGCCU